rnacentral:misc_RNA from 1 species
UAGUGCCUUUUUGUGACUUGUUUUUGUUUUUGUGUGUUGUCCUUGUGUGUGUUUCUGUGUGUGAACGUUUUUUUUUCCGCCAAUUUAAUGCCGUCCUACUAACGCAACAAGUUCUACAAUAAGUGCAAAGUUUUCUCCUUUCAGUUUUUAAAAUUGUUAUCGUACCUACUUGCUUCUCAUAUCACUUGUCAGUGGCAGAAUCGUCGACAUCAACAUCGACGGCAGAGAUUGCCAGAAACAAAAAUAGAAUAGAAUAGAA